AUGAAAAAACCACCUCACUGAAUUAAAGUAAAAGUCUAAGUAGAGAGGGUUUUUUCUCACCCUCCUACUUCCCUUCUUUAUAGGAACAUCCAGGGAGAUGGGUUCAUGGUUUUUAUUCGAGAUUCUAAAGGAGAGAGCAAAAGCUGUGAUAGAAUACUGUGUGUUUUACAGAUUUGUAUAGGUAUAUACAAACUUAUAUAUAAGUAACUUCUAAAUUGAAAGCUUAACUUUUCAGUCUUCAAGCAGCAAAUUGUACUUCUAAAAUAUACUUCAUACAGCUUAAUAAAAAAUGAUUCUUUAUACAUUUUUGAUGUCCCUUUAAAAAUGAGGGAAAAGGAAGUUUUAGCAAUGACAGGAGUGGCUGUCGUGCUGUACAAUACAAAUGGUCUGUACCUCUGUUCUAAACCACCUUCUGAAAUGCCCUGAAUUUAAAUAAAAAGUAAUAGGAAAGGAGUAGUGAAUGGCAAACUUGUCUCUGGGACAAAAGCCUAGCUAGCUGAAGUUAGUUUUGCCUUCCCAGCGGUUCUGUCAGCCCCCCAGCAGAAUGCCAUUGCUCCUGUCAUCCUCUCCAGGCAGGGUGAAGGUUAUCGGGUGCUCUGCCCUUCUGGCUGAGUGCUCUGGCAGCGCUCGCCUGCCCAGCUCGGGGGAUUCCUCUCAGUCACAACUCAGCAGGUGCCCUUGCUGACAAACGGGUUAAGCUGCAGGUCCUCAUUGAUCAUGAGCUGUCCUCUGAACUCUUUUUGACUUCUACUAGCCCAGGCGCCACUUGACUGUAGUUUUCUUGGGAGUGGGUGUGGCUGCAGGAGAGCGCUGAGCUCUCUCUUGCAGUCUUGGCUGCCCCUCUGCCUUUUCCGUGGAGCUGUGUGGUGUUGCGUUGGCCUCCCAUUGCUUUAAAUUUACAGAUGUUUCACAGAGGGCUGGAUACUAAAAGAGCAGAAUGGUUGGGCUUGACAAGUAUUCACUUCAGAGAAACUCUGUGAAGAAAUUGGUUUAUCCAGUCACUUCAGGAUAAACUGCAGUUUUAUAAACUACCACACUGAGACUGAAGAAAGACAAUUCUAAGGAAAAAAGGCUCUUUUUAAAGGGAGAGAAUAUGAUUGCAGUUUUACCAUCAGACAUGUAAACACUGGAGAGUUCAUGUCUUGUCACAUACUGUUUAACAAGAUUCCAUGGCCAAAAAGUCACAGAGCAGUUGAGAUUUUCACCCUUAGUGCCUCCUUUGUAUAUCUCACAGUGUAUGGAGAGACCUCA